rnacentral:rRNA from 1 species
GACGAACGCUGGCGGCGUGCUUAACACAUGCAAGCCGAACGAUGAAGUUCCUUCGGGAAUGGAUUAGUGGCGAACGGGUGAGGAACACAUGAGAAACCUGCCUUUCAUUUUGGGAUAACUCCGGGAAACCGGGGCUAAAACCGAAUACUCCGUCUCGGCGGCAUCGCUGAGCCGGGAAAAAAUUUUGAUGAAAGAUGGUCUCGCGGCCUAUCAGCUAGUUGGUGAGGUAAUGGCUCACCAAGGCAACGACGGGUAGCCGGCCUGAGAGGGCGACCGGCCACACUGGGACUGAGACACGGCCCAGACUCCUACGGGAGGCAGCAGUGGGGAAUAUUGGGCAAUGGGCGCAAGCCUGACCCAGCGACGCCGCGUGAGGGAUGAAGGCCUUCGGGUUGUAAACCUCUUUCAGUAGGGAAGAAGCGAAAGUGACGGUACCUAAAGAAGAAGCACCGGCUAACUAUGUGCCAGCCGCCGCGGUAA